rnacentral:rRNA from 1 species
UAGUCCACGCCGUAAACGAUGGAUACUAGGUGUUUGGGGAGUUAACCCCCUGAGUACCGUAGCUAACGCAUUAAGUAUCCCGCCUGGGGAGUACGGUCGCAAGGCUAAAACUCAAAGGAAUUGACGGGGGCCCGCACAAGCGGUGGAGUAUGUGGUUUAAUUCGAAGCAACGCGCAGAACCUUACCUGGCCUUAACAUCCUCGGACGACUACAGAGAUGUAGUUUUCUCUUCGGAGACUGAGUGAUAGGUGCUGCAUGGCUGUCGUCAGCUCGUGUCGUAAGAUGUUGGGUUAAGUCCCGCAACGAGCGCAACCCUUGCCUUUAGUUGCCAUCAUUAAGUUGGGCACUCUAGAGGGACUGCCGGUGUUAAGCCGGAGGAAGGCGGGGAUGACGUCAAGUCCUCAUGGCCCUUACGGCCAGGGGCUACACACGUACUACAAUGGCAGAACAAACCGUUGCGAAGCCGCGAGGUGGAGCUAAUCGGUAAAACACUGUCCUAGUCCGGAUUGCAGUCUGCAACUCGACUGC